CUACGGGUUGCAGCAGUGAAGAAUAUUGCACAAUGGGGGGAACCCUGAUGCAGCAACGCCGCGUGGAGGAUGACGCAUUUCGGUGUGUAAACUCCUUUUAUAUGUCAAGAAAAUGACGGUAGCAUAUGAAUAAGCACCGGCUAACUCCGUGCCAGCAGCCGCGGUAAUACGGAGGGUGCAAGCGUUACUCGGAAUCACUGGGCGUAAAGGACGCGUAGGCGAGUUGGAAAGUCAGGUGUGAAAUCCUACAGCUUAACUGUAGAACUGCACUUGAAACUUCUAAUCUAGAGUAUGGGAGGGGGAGAUGGAAUUAGUGGUGUAGGGGUAAAAUCCGUAGAUAUCACUAGGAAUACCUAAAGCGAAGGCGAUCUCCUGGAACAUUACUGACGCUAAGGCGUGAAAGCGUGGGGAGCAAACAGGAUUAGAUACCCGCGUAGUC
rnacentral:rRNA from 1 species